UCUCCUCCUCACUACCACUUUGUCAAAAGAUCUCUGUCACAAAGAUGACGAAAACACCCUCCUCAAGAUCAAGAAGUCCCUUAACAACCCUUACACCAUCAUCUCCUGGGACCCCAAAGACGACUGCUGCACCUGGGUCUCGGUUGAGUGCGGCGACGCAACUGUUGAUCACCGAGUCAUCUCCCUAGACAUAUCAAACGACGACGUCUCCGCUCAGAUCCCUCCUGAAGUCGGCGACUUACCGUAUCUACAAACCCUCAUAUUCCGCAAACUCCCUAACCUCACCGGUGAAAUCCAACCUACUAUCGCCAAGCUCAAGUAUCUUCGUUUUCUUUGGCUCAGCUGGACCCACCUGACCGGUCCGGUUCCUGAAUUUUUGAGUCAGCUCAAAGAUCUAGAGUACAUUAACCUUUCCUUCAAUGACCUCUCAGGUUCCAUACCCGGUUCUCUCUCUUUGUUACCUAAACUCGGGAUUCUUGAACUAAGCAGGAAUAAGCUUACAGGUGAUCACUCACUCUCUUUGUCUAUAUUGGUAGGGCCGGUUCUGAGCUUAGAUAAAACAUUCGCCUUGGUCUUUAAAAAAUUUAAGUGAUAUUAUACAUAGAUUGCAUGGCCCCAUAUUUUUUUUUAAAAUUUGUUAAGAUUAAUUAAAAAAAUUUGUACGGUCUCAUAUCUUGGCUAUUAGUCAUUAUUAAUCUAACCUAUAAUUUACACUAAUUGUUAGGUUCAAUACAUAUAUUGCAUGGCCUCAUAUUAUUUAAAAAAAAAUUGUUAAGAUUAAUUUUAAAAUGUUUAUUGUCGCAUAUUUUGUCUAUUAGUCAUUAUUAAUCUAACCUAUACUUUAAAAUUCUUGUUAGGUUCAAUACCAGAGUCAUUUGGAGCGUUUAAAGGAGUGGUACCUCCUGAGCUUUUUCUAUCGCACAACCAGCUAUCCGGUUCGAUACCAAAAUCACUAGGCAACCUCGAUUUUCACCGGAUCGAUUUCUCCCGUAACAAGCUUGAAGGUGAUGCUUCGAUGAUGUUUGGAGCCAAAAAGACGUCAUGGUCCGUUGAUUUAUCAAGAAACAAGCUCCAGUUUGAUAUUUCCAAGGUUAAAGUGGCUACAACAGUUCAUAACUUAGACUUGAAUCACAAUAGGAUCACAGGGGGUAUCCCGGUUCAAUGGACCGAGCUUACUCUUCAGUCUUUCAAUGUAAGCUAUAACCGACUUUGUGGACGAAUACCCCAGGGAGGGGACCUUCAGAUAUUUGAUGCUUAUGCAUAUUUACACAACAAGUGCUUGUGUGGUGCACCUCUUCAGAGUUGCAACGUGGAGAUUCAAGCAACCGAUCUUUAUCUAAAUUUACCAUCAGAAUAAAUCAUGUAUAAGGACAUCUGUAUGUUAUAUUCGGAAUGAUUAAUAAAAAUGAAUAAAUUUUAUUUGAUGAAUUUGCUGCACAGUUUCAAAAUCUAUUAGAUCCAUCGGCUAGCAACCACUAUGGUUGGCCAUUUGAUUGAAACAAUUACGGAUUUGAAACUCUGAUACCCAGCAUAGAGCCAUGAGAUAACAUAUGAUGUAACAAAUUGAUCAAUCUACCCCGACUCAAUAGCAAAUAGAUAUAUGACCAUAUCUUAUACACAAACCACAAGCUGAGGAAAUAUAAACCAAUAUGCAAACUAAUGAGGAUUAAGCAACCAACCAUUUCCACCAGUAAAACUUUACUGAUCCACUGAAAAUACAUUCGUUUCUGAAAGUAUAAGGCUAACUUAAGAAUGUAAUCUUGGAAAACAUAUAAUAUAUUAGUAUAAUUUUAUUAUUAUUUAGUAAAUUAUAUUAAGAAAAUCAGUUUCCUUUCCAACUAGAUUUAUAUUCAUUUAAGAGAUAUGUUUCUGAAAGUAUAAGGAUUAUUUAAGAACUAGAUAUGAGUAUGUGCAUUGCAACAGGUUUUCUUUUGAUGUUUUAAUUUAAUAAAAAAUAUAAAAUAAUAAAGUAUUUUAUUAUAGUUGUAGGAUUGAUUUUGAAUAUAAGCUUUUAAAAUUCUCUUUUGUCAGAAUUUUAAAAUAAAAAAAAAAUUGUUAGGACUAAAAAAAGAAAAAAAUAUUUUACAAACUCUUAUUAAGGGUUUUAGAAAACAUAUAAGUUAUUUUCACAUAAUGGCAUAUUUUUAUUUACACAUUUAAAAUAUUGGUUGUUUUGUGUGUGCGUUUGAGAUACGUUGAUCUUGUCCUCCUAUCAUAUCAUUUUAGUUACGUUGAUGUUGAUUGCUCUGUUUGAGAUUUGAUAGCUUUGUUUCUGUGUGUUUUAUAUUUGUGUAACUAAGAUGCUUUGUUGUUGUUCUUGUCCACACAGCACGGAGAAUUUAGUCCAUCACAUGAAGGCAUGGAUGGAUACCUGUGCGAGCAGGUAGAUUGAUUUCUGACUUUUGUUAUUUUUGUUUCGGACAAUUAUUUUUGUGCUAAUGGGGUUUGCAAUUGAUUCUCUUGCAGGACUAAGAUCAGGGUUGAGGGAUUCAACACUUCCUCUGAUCGCCUUGUGCUCUUAAGGGCCUUGAAAGAUCUCUUUGAAACGUGUGGAGAAGUGAAGAACAUUGAGAUCAGGGUAGAUCCGGUGUCAAAACUCAUCAGGUAGUUUUGUUUCUUUAUUUAUUUGUGUUUCUUUUGCAAUAACAUUUAACUGAUGAAUAAAUUGAUGAUAGUACUCCACUGCAGGUCUUGCCUUGUUAUCCUUCUAGGAGAAGGUGCCAAAGAGAAAGCUUUACUUCUCAACGGUAGCCAAGUUGGAGGAAGGAAGCUGACUCUCUCAGCAGUUGAGCUACAUCAGGUCGAGCUGCCAAGUUCGUGGCAGACUUCCAAAAGAACAGGUAAUUUCUAUUCUUGACUUCUAUUAAUUUGAUUCUUAGUGUUAAUCUCAUAAAUAUCUUUUUUUCUUGUAGGAGCGAAAUCAUAUCCGUAACUGGAUAUGACCCUUCUCUUCCUCAAGAAGAUCUCGAGAGUGUUUUGUGGAAGCACUUCGCUGCGUGUGGUGAAAUCACGGAAAUCACCUACCGAGUCAGGUUACAACCUUGUUCUGCAGAACAAGAAACUUCUCUCUAUUACUCUUUGUGUAAAACACCUUUUUAAUGCUCUCUUUGCUUGCUGUAUAUCUACAGCUCUGUCCUCGUCCACCUGUAUGGGCUAGGCUCCCUACAACGAGCUGUCCAACUGAAUGGAACCGACCUCGGAGGAGGUUUCACGCUGACCGUCGAAGCCAUGCCCUAUCCGAAGCGUGAAAAAGCCGAAGCCGAGUACGCAAUCCCAGAUGACAUAACUAAAACACUUUAUUAAUUAUGAAUUUUGGGAAGAAGUUAAUUAAUCGAGUUUUCCUUUGUGGUAUUAAUUAUGACAUUUCUUCAUGAUGACUGUAUUCACGAAAUUGUAUUCACCGCUAUUGCCGUGUUGGUUAUAAGUCUUUGUGAUUUUAACUAUUUUUUUGCUUUGGGACUAUGGAUGCUGGCAUGAUAAUUAUACAAUCAUCCUAAUGGGACUGUGGAUGCUGGCAUUUUAUUUGUUCUGUAUCGAUCAAAUACAACCUACAGUCCGAAGACGCUUGCUGACAUGAUAAUUACUUGAUACAAUCUUGCUUCUAUCUAUUACUCAAUGCCCAUUCAAAAUAAAUAUGUGUUUUUCAAAACUAAAGGUUGAUUGGGUUUGGGAUACAGAUAAGACUUAAAGACCAUUGAAUAUUUGAUCAAAAAAAAAAAAAGACCAUUGAAUAUAAAUUUUAUAGGUUGAUUAGAGUAUAAAUUUUAUUUUAUUUUCUACCCAAGAUAUGGGAGAAUAUAUCUACAUGGGAAUCUUUUCUUUAUAAUGUAAAACUAUAGCAACGAUUCUCGCAUACAUUUUUCCUUACGAGCAUGAAUUUGAUUGAUAGUCUAGAAAGACAUAAUCCAAGGAAGUAGUGAGUCGGCAAAGGAAGAGGUUAGUAAGUAGUGACCAGACUUUGUAUGUGUUAUUUACCAUCAAAAUAAAUCAUGUAUAAAUCUGCAUAUUCCAUUUGGAAUGAUAGAUAAAUAAAUGAAUCAUAUUUCAUUCGAUAAAACAUUUUCAAAAAUGUAUUUGAUCGAUACAGAACAAAUACAUUAACGGGAAAAUGUUUCUGUCGAGUUGAACAAAUUUGAUUUAUUAUAGGGAUGCAGAAAACAUGGUUCAUGGCAAAGAAAGUUUACUAUUGAAUACAAUUUCAGUGUACAAUUAUGUUUAAAAAGGACCACCGGAACUUGUUUAUCACGUGGUCUAACUAAAACCAUACCCUACCAUGUUUCCCACUCACUGCGUUACUCUCGUUAUAAUUACUAUACUACGUUAGCCUAUAUAUAUCAUCACAAUUUUCAAUUUAAACACAAACACAAACACAAACACAAACACAACAACACACUAUGGGUAAGACAACGACACUGCUCUUGCUCUUGUUCGCUCUCCUCUUCACCACAUCUUUAUCCAAAGACCUCUGUCACAAAGAUGACAAAAACACCCUCCUCAAGAUCAAGAAAGCCAUGAACAACCCUUACACCAUCAUCUCCUGGGACCCCAAGGACGACUGCUGCACCUGGGUCUCCGUUGAGUGCGGCAACGCAAACCGCGUCACCUCUCUAGACAUUUCAGACGACGACGUCUCCGCUCAGAUCCCUCCUGAAGUCGGUGACUUACCGUAUCUACAAUACCUCACACUCCGCAAACUCCCUAACCUCACCGGUGAAAUCCCACCCACCAUCGCCAAGCUCAAGUAUCUCAAAUCCCUCUGGCUCAGCUGGAACAGCCUGACCGGCCCGGUUCCUGAAUUUCUGAGCCAGCUCAAGAACCUAGAGUACAUAAACCUUUCUUUCAAUAAACUCUC
rnacentral:lncRNA from 1 species